rnacentral:rRNA from 1 species
CCCCCCCACAAGUUUCGGCGCGGCGCCCCCCCCAUGACCCCUUCGGUAGGUGAACCUGCGGAGGGAUCAUUGCUGGAACGCGCCCCAGGCGCACCCAGAAACCCUUUGUGAACUUAUACCUUACUGUUGCCUCGGCGCAGGCCGGCCCCCCUCCCCGGGGGGCCCCUCGGAGACGAGGAGCAGGCCCGCCGGCGGCCAAGUUUUAAAACUCUUGUUUUUAUACCGAAACUCUGAGCAUACAAACACAAAUGAAUCAAAACUUUCAACAACGGAUCUCUUGGUUCUGGCAUCGAUGAAGAACGCAGCGAAAUGCGAUAAGUAAUGUGAAUUGCAGAAUUCAGUGAAUCAUCGAAUCUUUGAACGCAUAUUGCGCCCCCUGGUAUUCCGGGGGGCAUGCCUGUUCGAGCGUCAUUUCAACCCUCAAGCCUGGCUUGGUGUUGGGGCGCUGCCCUCGCAAGAGGGCAGGCCCUGAAAUUCAGUGGCGGGCUCGCCCAGGACCCCGAGCGCAGUAGUUAAACCCUCGCUCUGGAAGGCCUGGCGUGCCCUGCCGUUAAACCCCCCAACUUCUGAAAGUUGACCUCGAUCAGUAGAACCCGCUGACA